rnacentral:rRNA from 1 species
UCGGAGCAAUCUGAAAGGACACUGGCGCACGGGUGAGUAACGCGUAGGUAACCUACCUUCUGCUGGGGGAUAACAUCGGGAAACCGGUGCUAAUACCGCAUAAUGCAGCGGUCACGCAUGUGGCAGUUGUUAAAGAAUUUCGGCAGAAGAUGGGCCUGCGUGUCAUUAGUUAGUUGGUAAGGUAACGGCUUACCAAGACGAUGAUGACUAGGGGGUCUGAGAGGAUGAUCCCCCACACUGGAACUGAGACACGGUCCAGACUCCUACGGGAGGCAGCAGUGAGGAAUCUUGCGCAAUGGGGGAAACCCUGACGCAGCCACGCCGCGUGCCAGAUGAAGGCCCUACGGGUCGUAAAUGGCUUUUGGUCGGGAAGAUAAGCCGGGUUUCGACCUGGUGUGACGGUACCGACUGAAUAAGCACCGGCUAACUCCGUGCCAGCAGCCGCGGUAAUACGGAGGGUGCAAGCGUUGUCCGGAAUCAUUGGGUGUAAAGGGUGCGUAGGCGGAUGCCUAAGUCUGGGGUGAAAUCUUGCAGCUUAACUGUAAAAUUGCCUUGGAUACUGGGUGUCUUGAGUACAGAAGAGGAUGGUGGAAUUCGUAGUGUAGCGGUGAAAUGCAUAGAUAUUACGAAGAACACCGGUGGCGAAAGCGGCCAUCUGGUCUGUUACUGACGCUGAGGCACGAAAGCGUGGGGAGCGAACAGGAUUAGAUACCCUGGUAGUCCACGCCGUAAACGAUGUGUGCUAGUUGUUGGCCUGUAUGGGCCAGUGACGUAGUUAACGCGCUAAGCACACCACCUGGGGAGUACGUUCGCAAGAAUGAAACUCAAAGGAAU